ACGCACGCUGGCGGCGUGCUUAACACCUGCCAGUCGCACGGAAAGGCCCUGCUUUUGUGGGGUGCUCGAGUGGCGAACGGGUGAGUAACACGUGAGUAACCUGCCCUUGACUUUGGGAUAACUUCAGGAAACUGGGGCUAAUACCGGAUAGGAGCUCCUGCUGCAUGGUGGGGGUUGGAAAGUUUCGGCGGUUGGGGAUGGACUCGCGGCUUAUCAGCUUGUUGGUGGGGUAGUGGCUUACCAAGGCUUUGACGGGUAGCCGGCCUGAGAGGGUGACCGGCCACAUUAGGACUGAGAUGCGGCCCAGACUCCUACGGGAGGCAGCAGUGGGGAAUAUUGCACAAUGGGCGGAAGCCUGAUGCAGCAACGCCGCGUGCGGGAUGACGGCCUUCGGGUUGUAAACCGCUUUCGCCUGUGACGAAGCGUGAGUGACGGUAAUGGGUAAAGAAGCACCGGCUAACUACGUG
rnacentral:rRNA from 1 species